rnacentral:rRNA from 1 species
CCUACGGGAGGCAGCAGUGGGGAAUAUUGGACAAUGGGCGCAAGCCUGAUCCAGCCAUGCCGCGUGCAGGAUGACGGUCCUAUGGAUUGUAAACUGCUUUUAUACGAGAAGAAACACUGGUUCGUGAACCAGCUUGACGGUAUCGUAAGAAUAAGGAUCGGCUAACUCCGUGCCAGCAGCCGCGGUAAU